GAGUAACCUGCCCUUAACUCUGGGAUAAGCCUGGGAAACUGGGUCUAAUACCGGAUAUGACUCCUCAUCGCAUGGUGGGGGGUGGAAAGCUUUAUUGUGGUUUUGGAUGGACUCGCGGCCUAUCAGCUUGUUGGUGAGGUAAUGGCUCACCAAGGCGACGACGGGUAGCCGGCCUGAGAGGGUGACCGGCCACACUGGGACUGAGACACGGCCCAGACUCCUACGGGAGGCAGCAGUGGGGAAUAUUGCACAAUGGGCGAAAGCCUGAUGCAGCGACGCCGCGUGAGGGAUGACGGCCUUCGGGUUGUAAACCUCUUUCAGUAGGGAAGAAGCGAAAGUGACGGUACCUGCAGAAGAAGCGCCGGCUAACUACGUGCCAGCAGCCGCGGUAAUACGUAGGGCGCAAGCGUUAUCCGGAAUUAUUGGGCGUAAAGAGCUCGUAGGCGGUUUGUCGCGUCUGCCGUGAAAGUCCGGGGCUCAACUCCGGAUCUGCGGUGGGUACGGGCAGACUAGAGUGAUGUAGGGGAGACUGGAAUUCCUGGUGUAGCGGUGAAAUGCGCAGAUAUCAGGAGGAACACCGAUGGCGAAGGCAGGUCUCUGGGCAUUAACUGACGCUGAGGAGCGAAAGCAUGGGGAGCGAACAGGAUUAGAUACCCUGGUAGUCCAUGCCGUAAACGUUGGGCACUAGGUGUGGGGGACAUUCCACGUUUUCCGCGCCGUAGCUAACGCAUUAAGUGCCCCGCCUGGGGAGUACGGCCGCAAGGCUAAAACUCAAAGGAAUUGACGGGGGCCCGCACAAGCGGCGGAGCAUGCGGAUUAAUUCGAUGCAACGCGAAGAACCUUACCAAGGCUUGACAUGAACCGGAAACACCUGGAAACAGGUGCCCCGCUUGCGGUCGGUUUACAGGUGGUGCAUGGUUGUCGUCAGCUCGUGUCGUGAGAUGUUGGGUUAAGUCCCGCAACGAGCGCAACCCUCGUUCUAUGUUGCCAGCGCGUUAUGGCGGGGACUCAUAGGAGACUGCCGGGGUCAACUCGGAGGAAGGUGGGGACGACGUCAAAUCAUCAUGCCCCUUAUGUCUUGGGCUUCACGCAUGCUACAAUGGCCGGUACAAAGGGUUGCGAUACUGUGAGGUGGAGCUAAUCCCAAAAAGCCGGUCUCAGUUCGGAUUGGGGUCUGCAACUCGACCCCAUGAAGUCGGAGUCGCUAGUAAUCGCAGAUCAGCAACGCUGCGGUGAAUACGUUCCCGGGCCUUGUACACACCGCCCGUCAAGUCACGAAAGUUGGUAACACCCGAAGCCGGUG
rnacentral:rRNA from 1 species